AACGCACAUUGCACUCUGUUUCGGCAGAGUAUGCCUGUUUGAGAAUCUAUAGUAUUCUUUCUAGCCUUUUGCUGUAAAGCACUAGGGUAGAGACUUGGAGCGUCGACCCUGGUCGUGCUCUCAAAGCUAUAGUCGAGCAGACAUGUCGGCGAAAAGUAUGCGCACGAAACCUCGGUUUCUCUUAUACUGACUAGCUGUGUGUCUAUCCCUCGGCACCGUUUGAACAAUGGUCUCAAAUCAGGCAGGAAGACCCGCUGAACUUAA
rnacentral:misc_RNA from 1 species